CUUCCACAUGUUUGGCGAACAUAAAUCAGAAAGUUAGAUCCAUUCUCAAAAUUGGAGUACAGUCAGAGCAGGAGUGCGAGACUUGCUUCAUGUAGAAAAUGGAUCAAAAAUCAUGAUGAGGGCAUUGACUAAGUCUAAAAUGUUUUUCUCAUCUCCCAUUUUGCGUGAUAAAUUUGCGUGCAUUUUUGUCCUCCACUUCAAAAAAUUUCAUUGAGGCGAGAACACCUAAUCUAACACAGAGGAGUCACCCCAGUCUCACAACUGCAAAACAAACCUGAAAGUAACCUUCGUCGUCGUAUUAUACUAUUCCACAAUCAGAAACGACCUACAUCACAAAUGCCUCUAAAUUGGCACCUUUAUUACCCUGCUUUGCAGAAAUCGUUUAGUAAAAAAGUUUGUGUGUUUUUUGGUUUUAAUGUAAAACUGCGGGGGUGGGGGAGGGGGGGUAAGAAGUGAAGGGUUGUUAGACCAGUGACCCAUACUAUCGUGCUAAGGAAGAACGCCGUAUGAACCCUCAGACUUUGCCACAUUUUCUUCAAUACAAACCUAAUUUACCGGGAAAAUCGUGAAUGUUUUUCUUCAAUUUUUCAGAGAAUUUUGUUCGCAAUCUUGUCUAAAAGGUCUGAAAAUUUCAAGGAAAAAUACGCAUGAUCUUUCUCAAAAACACAUUUUUUAUCCGGGGCGGUUUGGCAAUUCUCGAAUGUUCAUACGGCGUUCUUCCUUAGCACGGCAGCAUACAAAUCAAAGUAUUUUACAUUUUAAUGCCAAAUUUGGCUGGCUAAGCUGAAUAGAACAUGGUAAUUGAUUAAAGGCUCGAAGUAAGUAGCUCGAUUUUUUUCAAUCAAUUAACAUGUUCAAAUCAUUUUUGUUCUGUUGUGUAUUAUUUUUUUUUCUUUUUUUUUUUUUUUUUUUUUUUUUUUUUUUUUUUUUUUUUUUUUUUUUUUUUUUUUUUUUUUAAAGGAAUGGUUCAAAAAUCUACCGCAGAUUCUCAGAUGCGAACGCUGCAUGCGGAUUUACGAGCCGAGCUUCUCCAUUGCGAUCAGUUCUGCGGGCGAAAUUUAAAUGCACCGCCUUGGGAUUCCGUACCACAAUGCAUCUAGGAAGAAGUUAGUGCUAUCAAUUUAUCCGCUCUAACCCGCUCGAUCCA
rnacentral:lncRNA from 1 species